rnacentral:rRNA from 1 species
GACGGAAGGUGCAAGCGUUGCUCGGAAUCACUGGGCGUAAAGGGUGCGUAGGCGGCUUGGUGGGUCUGGUGUGAAAGCCCCGGGCUCAGCCCGGGAAGGGCACUAGAAACUGCCGAGCUGGAGUGCCGGAGGGGAGAGUGGAAUUCCUGGUGUAGCGGUGAAAUGCGUAGAUAUCAGGAAGAAUACCCGUGGCUAAGGCGGCUCUCUAGUACGGUACUGACGCUGAGACGCGAAAGCGUGGGGAGCGAACAGG